CACAAUGUGUCAUAUUUUUAUAUUUAUGUAUGUUUCUUCAUCUGUUUUUACACAACUGUGUUAGAUUGAGACACUACGGGCGGCUUGCAGAGUCGUUCCGAGAAUUCUCCGAGUGCGAGUGGAGUUUGAGUGGAGGAAUUUUCAUUGCACAGUCGAGAACGGAGUAAAAACGAAGUAAUAUCCGAAUGAAACCGAGUAAAAACGAAGGAUAGUUGGAGUGUACGCGCAACCACACUCCGAGGGCCCUCGGAGUGAAAUAUGGAAAAAAAAUCAAGAUGGCUGUGUUGUUAGAACCAAUUGUUGUGGAAUUUCUUGAUUUAAUUGAUGAAGUAUUUCUUGAAAAUGAAGAAAGAAACGUUGCCAGGGAACCACGUCGGUAUUUGAGGGAUUUUAAAAAUCCACUGGAGUGGUUUAGUGACGUGCAAUUCAAACGACGAUAUCGUUUUACUAAGGAUGUUGUUCGGCAUCAUAUUCUGCUUUUGCUAGUGUUUGAAGAACCACGGAGUCGUCGAGGAUUACCGCAACCGCCUGUCCAGCAGUUGCUAAUUGCCUUGCGAUUUUACGCAACAGGCAGUUUCCAGGAGUAAUUGACUGCACCCACAUUAAGAUCAAGAGCCCCGGCGGUGCUCGAGGAGAAUUAUACAGGCCAACAAUGAUGUGCCAAUCCCACCAGUUCCUCUGCGACCUGGGCGCGCCAUGGCCAUCAGGAACGAGUUCCUCAUCCGGCAUUUCAAUUAGCUGUUUUGAAAUGAUUUUUACACACAUUGUUUCAUGUGGGUUUUCGAAAUCCGUGACCUUGAUUGUACCGUUUAAUAAUAGUUUUUUUGGCUGGAAUGAAUAUUUUAUGAUUUUUGCACUCAGUGUUAUGGCUACUUAUGAAUAAUUCCUAUUAAUGUGUCAUAUUCCACCAUUAAGCAGUAACAUUUUCAGCACCACCAAGUUUAAGUCUUAAGUAUUUACGAAAUUUGGGCAAAAGUCCAUUACCUACUUCAGGAAAUGUUUCUGUUUUGUAUGUUGAGUGCAGCUGCGAUAUAUGCAUAGGAAAAUUUGGCAAACUGUUGACUUGGUAAUGCCUCAGGUAUAAUUUUUGAAGAUUUGGUGGUUCUUCAAACAUUAAUGGAACAACAUUGUUGGUAAAAUGAUAUCUUCAUUUGUUGCUAAGCCAUUCCAUUGCAGUUUCUUUAAUCCUUCACAUACCUACAGGCCCUGACAUUUUGUUUCCAACUUGUGAACAAGUGUCAAUUAAAUGAAGAAAUUUUACAUGAACCUUCUAAUAAUGCAGCCUUCUACAAAUGUCUGAAUAAAGAGGUACAUUUGUUUAUAUUGUUGCUUUUUGAUUCUUUUGUAUUAUAACUGGAUGAAAUAGGUAAUGUUUUGUUAAAAGUAUUAUUGUGCAAACAUAUUUAUGUUGUCUCAAGUUUCAUUUUGUUCACAUACCUAUGAUAUAGGAUUGUAUUGCAGGAUAUUAUUUCAUUUUACUUUUGUUCAGUUAAAAUGGUUUAUAUCUUAAGAAAGAAAAGUAAUAUAAAAUAUAUUUGUUUAAAAACAUUUAGAUAUACAGGUGUGGUGAAAAUAGGUAGGGAACUGUGAAUUCAACUAUUAUGUAAGAAACAUUGGGAAUCAGUUGGUAAAAACUGGUUUCAUGAUUGAAAUACUCCCGAUGUGUUGGGUAAGAAAGUUUCCAAAUGGAACAUUGAAAAUUAGUUGAUUGUUUUGCAGUUCCUGUUGCUGCCGCCUGUCGUGGCUCCACUCAAGUGCUCGGUGCUGCCCCUCAGCGGCAACGUGGAGUUGCUGUGUGUGCAGAGCAGUGUCAUCAUCCUCGGUGGGCAUGACCAGGAACAUUCAUACAUUCAGAAAUUACAUCAUAUUGAAGAUAAUUUAUUAUUUAAUAAUAUCGCAUGUUAUUUAGACAAAUACAUUUCAGGGAAAUUGUGGGCAAACUUUGCCUAGGCUUGUAGUAAGCAUUGAAGACCCUCACUCCUGAUAUUUACUGACAGUUUUGGUAAAAGACUAGAAACUAUUAGGAAUUGUUGGGUCCUCUCGAAUGAGAGUCCUGUGGUUUACCACUGAACUACCCUUGUUUGUUUCAAAAAAAAUAACAAUAUUAUUCUACAAUGUUUUUAUUUUUGACAAGAAGGGUAAAGUUAUGAAAAUACAAAAGUACAGCUACAAAUCUUUUAAAUGCAAUGCCAAAAGCAAAGAUUUUACAUUUUAACAUUUUCCUUGUUACAGUUGUUUUAAUUGUUUUAUAAUUUUGCAUUAAUACAUAACAAGAUAAUAUCAAGAAAUAUUGUUAUGCAACCUAUUGAACUAAAACUUUUUAAUGUAUAUAUAUAAUUGAUUGUGUAGUGUAUGUUAUUUCUUGUGGCAACAAUUUUUAAGUUGUUAAUUUUAUUCACGAUCUUAGUAUUUCAAUACUAUUAACACAAAUCACAACAUAGUACACAGUGUUAAAAGCCCUUCAUAAUUCUUGUACAUUUCUGUCUGAUGUUUCUCUGGAGACCUUUAGCCAUAUCUGUUUGAGAUCUGAUAUUGACUGCUACUAUAUAUGUAUUUCAUGUAUUUAUAAUAUGGUUACAAAAUACAAAAUACUUUUUGGUCAC